CUUAAAGCAUGUGCAGCUUUUGGCUGACUCAGCACUGGCAUAGGCCUUUGCUUCUGCCUGGAACCCUGUCUUCACCUGGCAUGCCCCCAGCCUCUGCAUAGUUGCCAUCUUCUCCUUGGUCGCCAGCUCCUCAGAGAGACAGGCAAAAGGUCUGCUGCCAAACAAGGAACUCUGGGACCCCACCACGACCACCACCAGAGCUCAGUCUCCUCGCCUGGGAAGUGGGGAUAAUGACAAGAGUGCCCAGGAUUGCUAAGAGGAUUAUGUGUACAUUUCUUUAAAUAGGGCCAGGCAGGUGAUGCGGCUGAGGUGAGGUCACAUGGAGUCAGAUCAGGACUACAAACUAUAGAAGACUGUGUGGAGACACAAUGCAGACAUGGUCACAGAAAAGAAGCCUGUGAUAGAAGAAGCUGAGACUAAGUCCUGCAGCUCUGAGGUCUGUGAAAGAAUGGAUUUCUGAGAGAAUGAAUAAAGAAGUAAUCAGAGCUCUUGCAGGAGGGGAGUUUUCCCCACCAUCAACUCAAGAGACAAGGCAGCAGCCACCUUGCCUCAGACCAGCUCAACUCAACAUGACCCAGUAUGCCAGAGCCACCACCUGCCACCAAGACACUGUCCUCUGCCAUGGAGGGUGGAUGUUCUUUUACAACCUAACUUUUGCAACCCUCAUGACAAGUUAUUGUCUGGAUUUGCUUCUCUUCCACAAUAUCCGGUGUUUCCACUGCAGUGUCUGCUUUGAAGUCACAGGCCAGACUUUCUAGCAAGUACCCUGCCACUUCCAAACAUCUUUUACUCCCUCGUGUCAACACUGUGUCUAAGAGUACUUUCCAGGACUGAACCAUAUCCUCCAAAGCAAGUGAUCAAAGCUAUUUACCUGACUUUGAGAUACACUGACAGUAGUCCAUGCACUUCUGGAGUCCCUGCUUCUGGACAUCUCUGUUAAAGAUAAGUAAACUUCAUCCAGCCAUAAAAAUCACCAAGGGAACACAGACUGAGGACACUGUAGACAAUGUUAGACCCAUUCUCUCAUAGCAAGUACCAAUGCUAUGAAAAAUAAGGAUUUGACACACUGCCAGAGAAGCUAGUAAACAAGGAGGACCCUAAGAGAGACAUACAUGGUCCCCUGGAGAAGGGGAAAGGGACUAGAUCUCCUGAGCAAAUUGGGAGCAUCCGGGGAGGGGAGAGAGAUCUAGGAGAAUGAGAAGGGGAGAAGAGAAGGGGUGAGGAAGACAUGAUGGGACAGGGAGGUUGAGUUGGGGGAAGAACAGAAAAGAGCAAGAUAAGAGAUAAUAUAAUAGAGGGAGACAUUAUAGGUUUAAAGAGAAAUCAGGCAUCAGGGAAAUGUCUGGAGAUCUACAAAGAUGACACCAACUAACAAUCUAAGCAACAGAGGAGAGGCUACCUUAAAUGCCCUCUCCUGAUAAUGAGAUCAAUGGCUAAUUCAUAUGCCAUCGUAUAGCCUUCAUCCAGCAACUGGUGGAAGUAGAAGCAGACACCCACAGCUAAACCUUGAACUGAACUGAAAUCCAGUUGCACAGAAGGAGGACUGAUCAGCAAAGGGGUCCAGACCAGGCUGGUGAAACCCACAAAAACAG
ensembl:lncRNA